rnacentral:rRNA from 1 species
CAGGACGAACGCUGGCGGCGUGCUUAACACAUGCAAGUCGAACGGAAUCCAUGGUGUAGCAAUACACCGGAAGAUUUAGUGGCGAACGGGUGAGGAUCACGUGAGAAACCUGCCCCAGACUUUGGAAUAACAGUUGGAAACGACUGCUAAUACCGAAUGACGUCGGAGAACCGCAUGGUUCACUGACGAAAGGAAAUCCGGUUUGGGAGGGUCUCGCGGCCUAUCAGCUUGUUGGUGGGGUAAUGGCCUACCAAGGCAACGACGGGUAGCUGGUCUGAGAGGAUGAUCAGCCACACUGGGACUGAGACACGGCCCAGACUCCUACGGGAGGCAGCAGUGGGGAAUCUUGCGCAAUGGGCGAAAGCCUGACGCAGCAACGCCGCGUGCGGGAUGAAGGCCUUCGGGCUGUAAACCGCUUUCAGCAGGAACGAAAAUGACGGUACCUGCAGAAGAAGGAGCGGCCAACUACGUGCCAGCAGCCGCGGUAA